rnacentral:rRNA from 1 species
UACGUAGGGACCAAGCGUUGUUCGGAUUUACUGGGCGUAAAGGGCGCGUAGGCGGCAAUUCAAGUCAUCUGUGAAAUCUCCGGGCUUAACCCAGAGCGGCCAAGUGAUACUGUCGUGCUAGAGUGCGGAAGGGGCUACUGGAAUUCUCGGUGUAGCGGUGAAAUGCGUAGAUAUCGAGAGGAACACCUGCGGCGAAGGCGGGUAGCUGGGCCGACACUGACGCUGAGGCGCGAAAGCCAGGGGAGCGAACGGG